rnacentral:miRNA from 1 species
UAGAAAGUAAUAGUGGCAAGU